GCCUUAGUUACCAGCACGUUAUGGUGGGCACUCUAAGGAGACUGCCGGUGACAAACCGGAGGAAGGUGGGGAUGACGUCAAGUCAUCAUGGCCCUUACGGCCUGGGCUACACACGUGCUACAAUGGUCGGUACAAAGGGUUGCCAAGCCGCGAGGUGGAGCUAAUCCCAUAAAACCGAUCGUAGUCCGGAUCGCAGUCUGCAACUCGACUGCGUGAAGUCGGAAUCGCUAGUAAUCGUGAAUCAGAAUGUCACGGUGAAUACGUUCCCGGGCCUU
rnacentral:rRNA from 1 species